rnacentral:rRNA from 1 species
GAACGCUAGCUACAGGCUUAACACAUGCAAGUCGAGGGGCAGCAUGGUCUUAGCUUGCUAAGGCCGAUGGCGACCGGCGCACGGGUGAGUAACACGUAUCCAACCUGCCGUCUACUCUUGGACAGCCUUCUGAAAGGAAGAUUAAUACAAGAUGGCAUCAUGAGUCCGCAUGUUCACAUGAUUAAAGGUAUUCCGGUAGACGAUGGGGAUGCGUUCCAUUAGAUAGUAGGCGGGGUAACGGCCCACCUAGUCUUCGAUGGAUAGGGGUUCUGAGAGGAAGGUCCCCCACAUUGGAACUGAGACACGGUCCAAACUCCUACGGGAGGCAGCAGUGGGGAAUAUUGGUCAAUGGGCGAGAGCCUGAACCAGCCAAGUAGCGUGAAGGAUGACUGCCCUAUGGGUUGUAAACUUCUUUUAUAAAGGAAUAAAGUCGGGUAUGCAUACCCGUUUGCAUGUACUUUAUGAAUAAGGAUCGGCUAACUCCGUG